AUUGAGUCAUGGUGAAAACAGGGAAGUAGAUGCCCAGAGAGAGAAUGGAGAACAAACAGAGAAGGAAGCCAAGAACAACCUCCAAGGAAAACACAACAUUCAAGGUACACGUAAAAGAAUAGAAGCCAGUAAAGUAGAGAAAGAAGGACAAAUCAGAGAGGAGAAGAGCCAUGAGAUACCUCUCAGAAGCCAUGGUAUUAAACAUCUCCAGUGCCCCAGUUAAGUCAAAUAAGGUGGGAAGUGGAAACUGACGAAGUUUAUUGGACUUGGCGCUUUCGAAGUCACUGGAAAUUACCACCACAGCAAUUUCAGUAGAUUAGCAAGGUGUUGACUAGAGUACCAUUAAGAGUGAUUGAAAGGUAAAGAGAUGAAGACAACAAACAAAGGCUAUUCUUCUAAGAAAUUUAUCAUGAAGAUAAGAAGAAAAGAAAUUUGAAUAUACUUAAGGCUGAAGGAGAUAGUAGAGAAGGAACGGAUGAAAACAGGAUAAUGGACCCUCCAUGCAGCAGAAUCCCAGGAGAGGCAGAGGAAACAAGAUGAAGUGCUUAUAUUAGGGAAUCACAUUUGACCAAAUGAAAGGGGAUAGAAGGAAGGUGAAAACCAGUAGAGUAAGGGAAAGGGUAGUUGAAACUGUUCACAAUUAAUUACCACAAGUUUUAUAGUGAGAGAGUAUAGGUAGCAGGAAGCAAGUGAAGAAGACUGUAAAGGUUUGGAGUUGCCAUGGUGGCCAGAUGAGGGAGCUGAUCAGAGGUAUGUAAAACUGUUUCAAAAUAAUGCUAAAGACCCCUUCAGGUGGAGACCAUGACUUAGCAGUGGUUCCAGUUUGGAAGAUGGUUUUUUUCCAGGGGCUCUCACCAGUGCUGGGUGCUAUAAUAGGAAAGGCAGACAUAAGCCAAGUUUGGGGGCAACAAAAGUUUGUCUUCCCCUCCUACUGAAGUUGGAAAUACUUAUUUCCCAGUUUUUAUUUCAACUGAAGAUGACCUCAUGACAGGUUUUGCUUUCCUGAUGAAAAGGAGAAGAUGUGGAUGAUAUAUGGCCCAUUUUUGCUUCCUCCUGCUCCUAGUCUGGAGUAUGGAGCAAUCCUAGAGGUGUAGCAGCUACCUGUUAAGCCUGGGGCAAAAACCAUGAGAAUCAAAGCCAACAGGGUGAGGAUGGUGAGAAGAAAGGUAGAAAGUGCCUGGGGCCAUGUUGACAUUACGGAAUAUGUUAUGGGCUGAGUUGUGUCCCCCUAAAAUUUAAAUGUUGAAGCCCUAACCCUCAGUGCCUCAUGAAGUGACCUUAUUUGCAAAUAGGGAUUUUACAUAGGUAAGCAAGUUAAAAUGUCAUUGAGGUGAGUCUUCAUCAAAUCUGACUGUUGUUCUUAUAAAAAGGGGAAAUUUAGAGACAGACACACAUGCAGGGGAAUGCCAUGUGAGGAUGCAGAGACCAGGGUGAUGCUUCUAUAAGCCAGAGAAUGACAAAGUUGCCUGAAAACCACCAGAAGCUAAUGGAAAGACAUAGAACAGUUUCUUCCCCACCAAGCUCAGAAAGGACAAACCUAUCUACACCUUGAUUUCUUUUUUUUUUUUUUUUUGCCCUAAAGCAAUGAAAUGCAGAUCGACAUCUUCAUUUUGGACAUCUAGUCUCUAGAACUCUGGAACAAUAAAUUCCUGUUGAUUAUAUCACUCAGACUGUGGUACUUUGUUACAGCCCUAGCAAAACACUCCAGAGCAUCAAAAACCCUUAAAGUAAACUCCUACCUCUAAAUGUUCUAUUACAUGAGAAAAAUAAGCAACUAUUUAUUUAAACUAAACUACUGGUUGAAUCUUCUUUUUCUUAUAGUGGAUGGAAUCUCAGCUAGAUAUAAAUAGGCAAAAGAGAUCUAAAUAGGAGGAAAAUUUGAGUAAUUAAGGAGGUAAAAGCUAG
rnacentral:lncRNA from 1 species